GACCGAAAGGCUAAGUGUCUCUGCCACCCUGUGUCCCUGCCUCAUGCCACACGUCUCCGCUGGAGGACGGACGAACAGGUUUCUCCAAGUAAUUCUGCUCUGUGCUGCAGAUUAGAAUCUGACUCAAGCAAAAGCAUUCCCCAUGUACCAGGUUACCACAGUAAGGCAGCAGAUCUGGUCCCUCUGAGGAAGCAAUCCACAGUCUUUUCAAGAAAAUGUUUUACCUGAGAGUCAAAAGAUAAUCCAGAAACGAGAAAUUAUUAUUGCAACCCAGUGUUAAAGUUUCAUAUAAAUCAAAAUCUCAAAAUCAUCCAAACCCCUCUUGUUUUGGAUAAAUCAUAACACCUAUAAAUACAAACUUCAUCUAUAAUUGAUAGAAGUAUGACAUUUAGAAAAAUAUAAAAUGUCAACGGAGACAUCUUUCAUCAAAGGCCAUGUUUAUAACAAUACAAGGAAGGAAUGCAUGAACAUCAAAGGAAGAUUUGGCAAGAGACCAAAGAAGAGAAAGUACAAAGCAGAGAAAUUUUUCUGUGUUUAUCAAGCAGAAGGAAGCAGUGCUGACCAGGACAAAACUGCUGCUCUCCCCAGGGCUCUCUGGAAUUAAGAAAUCUGGGAGACAGAGAGAGUUCUCUUUAUUUUCCAUAACCUAGAAAAGAGAACCAUCAUGAUGACCUGUUUUUCUUCAUGCCAAGUGAGCAAGCAGGAUAUUGACACUUAAAAAACAAACAAACAAAAAAAAACAUGCAUUGAGACCACUGGAAGUAAAUGUUCUCCCCUGCAAUUAACAAUUUGGCCCUGUGGUUCAUGCAUCACUAUCUUCUGAGCUGGUUUAAGGUUUCAGUCUUUGGAAAGUUGAUAAACUCCAACCUCCCUGCACCAGCAAACCAUAAAUUGAGGCCCUCAUGGGGAGCUCUCACCCUGGGUCCUGCUUAGCUAUGCAAUC